rnacentral:tRNA from 1 species
GCCUGGCUGCCUCAGUUGGUGGAGCAUGUGACUCUUGAUCUCAAGGUGGUGAGUUCGAGCCUCAUGUUGGGUG